rnacentral:tRNA from 13 species
AGCAUCUCCCUUGUAAGGAGAAGGUCGCGAGUUCAAUUCUCGCCGCU